rnacentral:lncRNA from 1 species
CAUCAAGAAAGAAGAUGAUUACCUUGGUAUGUUAGACAUCAACCAAGGGUCCUUCACGGUGGCAGAGGCAUAUAAGAUGUUCUUCAUCCCUAAUACAAUUGAUCCAUGAGCUCAUCUGGAAACCACGCACUCCCACUAAAAUGAGUUCUUCGUAUGGCUGGCAGAGAAAGACAGAUGCCUAACAGCCGACAACCUAGCACUACAAGGGUGGCCACACCAACCGGGUUGCAAGUUUUGCCCCGCGUUCUUGGCAGUGCUGGAAGGAAAGGAACAACUGCCAUUUCAAUCAGCGCAUGACAACCUCAGAGAAAAUCUUCGACACGAGGAUAUUAGGGAAGAAAUCGGGAUUUGAAAGUAAGCCAAUAUUUUUAAGAGAUAAACCCUGUCGUGCUCGACCCUGUUUGGGGCGAUGUUUUUUCGUACAAUGCUGCCCACCACAUAGUCCAGAGAAUAAGGAGAAGGUAGAGGUCUAGAAAUUGGCCGACAUGCUAACCACAAUAAGCGACAUGCGUUUUAGUUUUUCUUUUUAGGCAUCCUGCCGGGGGGCGCCGCUGUGUCAAACCCCAUCAGCAACUUCUUGUCGGUGUUACUUGAUCAAAACAUGUAAAUUCUCUUACUUUUAAUGAAAUUUAGCCACAAAGUAAAAGAAGAAGAAAGUAGUUGCAGUCUUGCAGUACAGGGUAACUCACUACACAUGACCCACUAAAAUUGCGUGAUCAGUUUAAACAUCACCACCUAUAUACAUGGUGGCACAACAGAGCAACCAAACUCAAGAAAAAUAUGAUUCCAUAGUCAAUUACUAACGAUCUUUUUGGACCAAUAUUUAGUUUUACUCAAGUCCCAUAUCAUGUCAUGUCUCAUGGUUUGCGUUUUACUAGCUUCGGUAGAAUUUCGGUGUAGUUGAGUAGAAAAUUAAUAAAUAUGUACUAUGGCAGCCUAAAAAUAGUAUAAUGU